rnacentral:rRNA from 1 species
UACGAAGGGGGCUAGCGUUGCUCGGAAUCACUGGGCGUAAAGCGCACGUAGGCGGAUCGUUAAGUCAGGGGUGAAAUCCUGGAGCUCAACUCCAGAACUGCCUUUGAUACUGGCGACCUUGAGUUCGGGAGAGGUGAGUGGAACUGCGAGUGUAGAGGUGAAAUUCGUAGAUAUUCGCAAGAACACCAGUGGCGAAGGCGGACUCACUGGCCCGAUACUGACGCUGAGG